CCUACGGGUGGCAGCAGUGAGGAAUAGUGGUCAAUGGGCGGAAGCCUGAACCAGCCAAGUCGCGUGAGGGAUGAAGGCCCUGCGGGUCGUAAACCUCUUUUGCCGGGGAGCAGGGGGCCGGACGCGUCCGGACCGGGAGAGUACCCGGAGAAAAAGCAGCGGCGAACUCCGUGCCAGCAGCCGCGGGAAUACGGAGGAUGCGAGCGUUAGCCGGAUUUAUUGGGUUUAAAGGGUGCUUAGGCGGGCAUUUAAGCCGGCGGGCAAAUGUCGGGGCUCAACCCCGGCCUGCCGUCGGAACUGGGUGCCUUGAGUGGGCGAGAAGUAUGCGGACUGCGUGGUGUAGCGG
rnacentral:rRNA from 1 species